rnacentral:rRNA from 1 species
AGUGAACGCUGGCGGUAGGCCUAACACAUGCAAGUCGAACGGCAGCACAAUAAGAGCUUGCUCUUACGGGUGGCGAGUGGCGGACGGGUGAGGAAUACAUCGGAAUCUACUUUUUCGUGGGGGAUAACGUAGGGAAACUUACGCUAAUACCGCAUACGACCUACGGGUGAAAGCAGGGGAUCUUCGGACCUUGCGCGAUUGAAUGAGCCGAUGUCGGAUUAGCUAGUUGGCGGGGUAAAGGCCCACCAAGGCGACGAUCCGUAGCUGGUCUGAGAGGAUGAUCAGCCACACUGGAACUGAGACACGGUCCAGACUCCUACGGGAGGCAGCAGUGGGGAAUAUUGGACAAUGGGCACAAGCCUGAUCCAGCCAUACCGCGUGGGUGAAGAAGGCCUUCGGGUUGUAAAGCCCUUUUGUUGGGAAAGAAAAGCAGCAGGUUAAUACCCCGCUGUUCUGACGGUACCCAAAGAAUAAGCACCGGCUAACUUCGUG